UAAUACGUAGGAGGCGAGCGUUAUCCGGAUUUAUUGGGCGUAAAGAGGGCGUAGGCGGUUCUUCAAGUCGGAUGUGAAAUCUCCCGGCUCAACCGGGAGGGGCCAUCCGAUACUGUUGGGCUAGAGGGCAGUAGAGGAAGGUGGAAUUCCCGGUGUAGUGGUGAAAUGCGUAGAUAUCGGGAGGAACACCAGUGGCGAAGGCGGCCUUCUGGGCUGUUUCUGACGCUGAGGCCCAAAAGCGUGGGGAGCGAACAGGAUUAGAUACCCUGGUAGUCCACGCCGUAAACGAUGGAUACUAGGUAUAGGGAGUAUCGACCCUCUCUGUGCCGAAGCUAACGCUUUAAGUAUCCCGCCUGGGGAGUACGGCCGCAAGGCUA
rnacentral:rRNA from 1 species